GGGGGCGUACUGGUUUCGACUCUGGGUUCGAAGACCAGGCGGCAUGCCGAGGAUGACUCGUUGGCCUCGUUAAAAAUCGGGUCAAAAAAA
rnacentral:tmRNA from 1 species